ensembl:lncRNA
GCUAAUUGAAUGACCAGGGCAGGAGGUCCAGGUCUUUAUGCUCGUGGAGAGGAGCCAUGAAUAUCUCUGUUUCAUUUGGGCUUCACACACGGAGGUGGUGGGAAAAGGUGAAUGAGUGUGGGAAUCAGCAGCCACGCACUCUGAAUAUUCACCUUCCUAGAAGUUCUGCGGAGCUAAAAUACAGGCUUGUGUUCUUACAAAUGAGACAAAAACAGUGAUUUUGUGUCAUUUUGUGUGAUGUUUAUCUGAUUAAUACAACAGUGUGCUGUUACACCACGGCCUAGGCAACCGGCGUGCAACACAGAAAAAAUAAAAAUAAGGGGAAAAAAAAAAACAACAAAAAAAACUACUACGGGUCUCCACAAAAAAAAAUCCCAAAACGAAAGGAUCGACAACUAUUUACAUCAAAGCAAAUUAAGACAUUUAUUUACAUCAAAACACCAAACUAUUUACAACCGGGGGGAAGAUCGCAAACCUGACAAACUGAAACACAGGGCUUAAAUACAUAGAGGGAGCAAUCAGGGAAUGGACAACAGGAGGGAAACACAGCUGGGGCAAAUCAGAACUGACGAGACAAGGAAGCGUAAACUGAACACACUGAGAUAAGACAGACUUUCAAAGUAAAGCAGGAAACACAACCGUCACGCCUAAAACAAAACACUGACAACACCGAAUCGUAACAGCUCCCCCCACCCAAAAAUCAAACAUUUAAAACAUGUAACCCCAAAGAAAAUGUUUGAUUCAUGACCAGCGCAUACGGCACCGGCUGCUGUUCUGCAGGCGACGCUGAUGGCUGGACGGGCCCCUUGGAUCCUCCAGUGGAAACGGAAGGCUGGAGCGGUCCCUCGGACCCUCCAGCGAAGGCGGACGAAGGCUGGAGCGGUCCCUCGGACCCUCCAGCGAAGACAGACGGAGGCUGGAGCGGUCCUCGGACCCUCCAGUGAAGACAGACGGACGGCUGAAGCGGUCCUCAGACCCUCCAUCGAAGACAGACGAAGGCUGGAGCGGUCCCUCGGACCCUCCAGCGAAGACAGACGAAGGCUGGAGCGGUCCCUCGGACCCUCCAGCGGAUCCCGGACGAGCCCCCAUUAUGUUACACCACGGCCUAGGCAACCGGCGUGCAACACAGAAAAAAUAAAAAUAAGGGAAAAACAAAACAAAACAAAAAAAACUACUACGGGUCUCCACAAAAAAAAUCCCAAAACGAAAGGAUCGACAACUAUUUACAUCAAAGCAAAAUAAGACAUUUAUUUACAUCAAAACACCAAACUAUUUACAACCGGGGGAAGAUCGCGAACCUGACAAACUGAAACACAGGGCUUAAAUACAUAGAGGGAGCAAUCAGGGAAUGGACAACAGGAGGGAAACACAGCUGGGGCAAAUCAGAACUGACGAGACAAGGAAGCGUAAACUGAACACACUGAGAUAAGACAGACUUUCAAAGUAAAGCAGGAAACACAACCGUCACGCCUAAAACAAAACACUGACAACACCGAAUCGUAACAGUGCAUAUGUGGGAAAUCUACGACAGUCAACAUACAACUGCUUUUGAUUUUAUUAGCCUAGAUGUUGUGUUUUGAGUAUUUCUACAUGAUUUUGUGUUGUAUUCAGUGCAUUUUAAGGUUGUUAAAAUUGCC